UGCUCCACAGAGUGGUGAGGACGCUCCGGGAGAAGCCAUCAGAGCCGCGGGGCAGGGCCCGGCACUCACGAGCCCUCCAGGGGACAGCCCUUGUGACCGCCUCAGCACUUUUCCUGGAAGGCAACAGCUGGGCUGCUGGAGUCACCGAGGAAGUGUUUUUUUGGUUACAUUGCCCAAUCCCCUUCUCUAUGAAAAUUGGUGCCAUUAUUGCUAACUGAUGGACGGAUGAACCUGCCAUUCAAGAAAUAUUUUUUGAAUAAAUGAAUGAAUGACAGAAGCCUGAAUGAACAGUGCUCAGAAAGCUACAUGGAAGCUCUAAGGAGGCGUUCACAUUCUCUUUCUGGUAAGUUGCAGGCUGCAUUAGAAAUAGGCACGUGACUGAUACCAAA